rnacentral:rRNA from 1 species
UACGUAGGGGGCAAGCGUUGUCCGGAUUUACUGGGCGUAAAGUGCGUGUAGGCGGUCCGGUAAGUCCGCUGUGAAAGUCGGGGGCUCAACCCUCGGAUGCCGGUGGAUACUGUCGGGCUUGAGUACGGAAGAGGCGAGUGGAAUUCCUGGUGUAGCGGUGAAAUGCGCAGAUAUCAGGAGGAACACCAAUUGCGAAGGCAGCUCGCUGGGACGUUACUGACGCUGAGACGCGAAAGCGUGGGGAGCAAACAGG